rnacentral:rRNA from 1 species
AACGCGAAGAACCUUACCUGGGCUCGAAGCGCAGUGGACCGGGGUAGAAAUAUCCCUUCCCCUUAAAAGGCUGCUGCGGAGGUGCUGCAUGGCUGUCGUCAGCUCGUGUCGUGAGAUGUUGGGUUAAGUCCCGCAACGAGCGCAACCCUUAUCCCUAGUUGCCAUCGGGUCAAGCCGGGCACUCUAGUGAAACUGCCUCGGAUAACGAGGAGGAAGGUGGGGAUGACGUCAAGUCCUCAUGGCCUUUAUGUCCAGGGCUACACACGUGCUACAAUGGUCGGUACAAACCGUCGCAAACCCGUGAGGGGGAGCUAAUCGGAAAAAGCCGGCCCCAGUUCAGAUUGUCGUCUGCAACUCGACGGCAUGAAGCUGGAAUCGCUAGUAAUGGCGCAUCAGCUACGGCGCCGUGAAUACGUUCCCGGGCCUUGUACACACCGAUAGC